rnacentral:rRNA from 1 species
AUUGAACGCUGGCGGCAUGCCUUACACAUGCAAGUCGAACGGCAGCACGGGUGCUUGCACCUGGUGGCGAGUGGCGGACGGGUGAGUAAUACAUCGGAACGUACCUUAUCGUGGGGGAUAACGCAGCGAAAGCUGUGCUAAUACCGCAUACGCCCUGAGGGGGAAAGCGGGGGAUCGAAAGACCCCGCGCGAUUAGAGCGGCCGAUGCCUGAUUAGCUUGUUGGUGGGGUAAAAGCCCACCAAGGCGACGAUCAGUAGCUGGUCUGAGAGGACGAUCAGCCACACUGGGACUGAGACACGGCCCAGACUCCUACGGGAGGCAGCAGUGGGGAAUUUUGGACAAUGGGGGCAACCCUGAUCCAGCAAUGCCGCGUGAGUGAAGAAGGCCUUCGGGUUGUAAAGCUCUUUCGUCAGGGAAGAAACACCGGCUCUAACACAGUCCGGGAAUGACGGUACCUGAAGAAUAAGCACCGGCUAACUACGUGCCAGCCGCCGCAGUAA